GUAGGUGAACCUGCGGAAGGAUCAUUAAUGAAAUUAUAAUCCGGCGAGGGAAAGGCGGGGAGUUGUAGCUGGCCCUAGGGCAUGUGCACGCUCUCUUCUGGACUUUCGCCGUAUGGGCGCGGGGCGACCCGCGUCUUCAUAUACCUCUUCGUGUAGAAAGUCUUUGAAUGUUAUCAUCAUCAUCGAGUCGCGACUUCUAGGAGACGCGAUUCUUUGAGACAAAAGUUAUUACAACUUUCAGCAACGGAUCUCUUGGCUCUC
rnacentral:misc_RNA from 1 species